rnacentral:rRNA from 1 species
AACGCGAAGAACCUUACCUGGCCUUGACAUGGAGGUAGUAGGAGGAUGAAAGUCCGACGAUCCCGCAAGGGAAGCCUUCACAGGUGCUGCAUGGCUGUCGUCAGCUCGUGCCGUGAGGUGUUCGGUUAAGUCCGGUAACGAGCGCAACCCCUGUGACCUGUUGCCACCCCGAGAAAUCGGGAGCACUCUGGUCAGACUGCCCUGCAUAACGGGGAGGAAGGUGGGGAUGACGUCAAGUCAGUAUGGUCCUUACGGCCAGGGCUGCACACGUGCUACAAUGCCCAGUACAGAGGGAAGCCAACCCGCGAGGGGGAGCCAAUCCCAGAAAACUGGGCUCAGUUCAGAUUGAAGGCUGCAACUCGCCUUCAUGAAGCUGGAAUCGCUAGUAAUGGCGCAUCAGCUACGGCGCCGUGAAUACGUACCCGGGCCUUGUACACACCGUGUCGA